rnacentral:rRNA from 1 species
CCUACGGGAGGCAGCAGUGGGGAAUAUUGGGCAAUGGAGGCAACUCUGACCCAGCAACGCCGCGUGAAGGAAGAAGGCCUUAGGGUUGUAAACUAAUGUUGUAAAGGAAGAAAAGAAUGACGGUACUUUACAAGACAGCUCCGGAUAACUAUGUGCCAGCAGCCGCGGUAAUACGGAGGAUGCGAGCGUUAUCCGGAUUUAUUGGUGUUAAAGUGUGCGUAGGCGGACUGUUAAGUCAGCGGUAAAAGCCCGGGGUACAACCCCGGCGAGCCGUUGAUACUGGCUGUCUUGAGAUGUCGAGAGGUAGGCGGAAUGCGCAGUGUAGCGGUGAAAUGCGUAGAUAUUGCGAAGAACUCCGAUGGCGAAGGCAGCAUACCGGCGGCGAUCUGACGCUGAGGCACGAAAGCGUGGGUAUCGAACAGGAUUAGAUACCCUUGUAGUC